UACGUAGGUGGCAAGCGUUGUCCGGAAUUACUGGGCGUCAAGGGCGUGUCGGUGGUCAAACCCGUCAGGUGUGCCACCCCGGGGCUUAACUUCGGGCCUGCCUUUGAACAUGUAUGACUUGAGGGCACGAGAGGAAAGUGGAAUUCCUCGUGUAGCGGUGAAAUGCGUAGAUAUUAGGAGGAACACCAGUGGCGAAGGCGACUUUCUGGAUUGACCCUGACACUGAGGCGCGAAAGCGUGGGGAGCAAACAGG
rnacentral:rRNA from 1 species